CUUGGCCUAAUGGACAAGGCGUCGGACUUCUAAUCCGAAGAUUGUGGGCUCGAGUCCCGCAA
rnacentral:tRNA from 1 species